rnacentral:lncRNA from 1 species
GUUGUGUUCGUCACCAUUCAGAUGGGUAUCUCUAGGGGGAAACUGAAACCUGAGGAUUUCAAGUCUAAAGUGGAGACCAUUCUGAAGACAUUACAGCUCCCCGCACAGGUUAGUCAAGAAACAUUUACACACAAAGAUGGAGCUUGGAAGCAGAUACACUGUGUUGUAUUUAUGUGUUUGUCUGUAUUUUAUCGUGUGUAAUUCAGAUGUUGACACCUCAAACGGUGUGUGUCUCAUGUCUUUGUGGUGUCUGGUUCUGCGAUCUACAGGAAGUCAGUGAUGGGGAUAUGGGAGCACCUUUGUGAGAAGGUCACAACACGGGUGUGUCACAAAAGGUUCACAAUACCAACUCCCUUUGGCACUGUCGAGUUGUGCUUGUCAUCCACUUAGACCACAUUACCCUGUUUGCUCUGAAUCUUGAGCUGCAGUUCCAAACUCCAGAGUUCUUCCUGGUGCUGGAAGAGUGCCCCCUUCAGUCUUCCUCCAUUUGAUCCUGUGAGUAACCUGGUGAAUAUCAGUGGUAUUCUGUCUGCACAGAAUACGUAUCUGAAACUUUUUAAGUCUCUGUAUGAGUCUCUCUCUCCAGAGGAAACGUGACUCCAACGCCUGUCUGUAUGACCUGCCCAGUGCCUCCAUCACCUCCACCAAGCAGGAAGUCAUCAUUGCCGUGGGUUUCCCUGCUGGCAAGUGGACGUGUAUUCCUUUUUCUUUCUCUUCCUCACUUUUUACUAUCUGCCUUCUUUUUUUUUUAUCUAGCCGGGAAAUCAACCUUUUUCCACACACACAUCGUCCCCAAAGAUCACGUGCACGUGAACAUGACACCCUGGGCUUGUAG